rnacentral:rRNA from 1 species
UACAGAGGUGGCAAGCGUUGCUCGGAAUUAUUGGGCGUAAAGCGCACGUAGGCGGCAUCGCAAGUCCCAUGUGAAAGCCCACGGCUUAACCGUGGAAGUGCAUGGGAAACUGCAGUGCUUGAGUACUUAAGAGGAUCGCGGAAUUCCCGGUGUAGAGGUGAAAUUCGUAGAUAUCGGGAGGAACACCAGUGGCGAAGGCGGCGAUCUGGGAAGAUACUGACGCUGAGGUGCGAAAGCGUGGGGAGCAAACAGG